UGUUCCAAAUUUCACGCCCGCCACGGCCCCUCUCUCUCUCUUUCAUCAUCGUCUCUUCCCAAAUCACAAACGACGAGGUUUAUGAAUAGGAGCUUCUCUCUCUCUCUCCCACACCCGCCCUACUCGGCUCCUAAACCCUCUCAUUUAGGGUUUUCUAGGGUUUCUUAGCUCCUGAGGUUUCCGUUGGGGGAAUUGGAGCUCGUGAUCUCUCUCUAGGGUGUUUAGGGCUUCUCUCCGCUUGCUCCUUUCCCCCUCUUUGGGGGAUUCGAGCUCGAGAACUCUUCGGGUGGGGGUUAGGUUAGGGUUUGUUUCGUUUUGGGGGUGGCUCUGUGGAGGUUUCUUCUCGUCGGAUGGAGGGGAGGCGGAUCCCGAUAAGCCCGCGGCCGUGUAGCGGGCGGAGGAUCGUCGCGAGGAAGCGGCCACGGGUGGACGGGCUCGUGAACACCGUGAGGAAGCUCCAGAGGCGGGAGAUCAGCUCCGCGAGAGAUCGGGCGUUUAGCACGAGCAGCGCCCAGGAGAGGUUUCGCAACUUCCGGUUGCAGGAAUAGCAGGUCCACUACAAGGUCAGCCACAGUUAUUCAUCUCUCAUUCUGCACAAUUCAUAUAGGGUGGUGGUUCAAAGCGAGCAACUGGUUGAGAGGAGCUGCGUUAUGAGCGACAUUUUGUAGUUGAAACUCAUGUAUGAAAUUUAUUAUUUUUUGGCUGGAAUUCAAACAAGCAUUUUGUUGUUGAAACUUAUGUAUGAAAUUUAUUUUUAAUAUUGAAACUGUAAUUUAUCGCAAA